CGAGUCGACCGGACGGCGGCCUCGGUGAAACCCGGGGAGGAAAGUCCGGGCUCCGUAGAGCAAGGCGCCGGGUAACCCCCGGGCGGCGCGAGCCGACGGAAAGUGCAACAGAAACACACCGCCGAUGGCCGCAAGGCACAGGCAAGGGUGAAAUGGCGAGGUAAGAGCUCACCGGCGUCCCGGCAACGGGGCGGCCGUGCAAACCCCGCCCGGAGCAAGGCCAAAUAGGAAGACAUUGACGCUGCUCGCCGAGUCUUCGGGUUGGCCGCUAGAGCCUCGAUGAGAAUCGUGGCCCAGAUAGAUCGCCGUACAAAGACAGAACCCGGCUUAUAGGUCGACUCGAAUC
rnacentral:RNase_P_RNA from 1 species